rnacentral:rRNA from 1 species
CAGUCGGCCGCGGUAAAACGGAGGGUGCGAGCGUUAAUCGGAACAACUGGGCGUAAAGGGCACGCAGGCGGUGACUUAAGUGAGGUGUGAAAGCCCCGGGCUUAACCUGGGAAUUGCAUUUCAUACUGGGUCGCUAGAGUACUUUAGGGAGGGGUAGAAUUCCACGUGUAGCGGUGAAAUGCGUAGAGGUGUGGAGGAAUACCGAAGGCGAAGGCAGCCCCUUGGGAAUGUACUGACGCUCAUGUGCGAAAGCGUGGGGAGCAAACAGGAUUAGAUACCCCAGUAGUCCCUGUCUCUUAUA